GCCCGGCCCGGCGCGGCAGUGCCCGCCGAAGCGAAAGGAAACCUCGGAAGCAGAUCCCGCCCCGACCCCGCGGCGGGCGCGGCUCCGCCGAAAUUGGCCAGAAAUGGAAACGCGCGACUGGAGAGACCCAGACAGAGAAGAUAAGGAAUAUGUGCAUCCCUGGCUCCACAUUAUAAUCAGGGAGAUUCUUAGUGCAUGGAAGACACAAGAAGGAAUGCUUGGAAAUACGUCAGGGACCUGGCACAGUAACCCCUC